GGCCCAAUGGUCUAGGGGUAAGAUACUUGCUUUGGGUAAAUCACCUGCCUGCAAGGGAUCCUGGGUUCAAAUCCCAGUUGGGCCC